UACGUAGGGUCCGAGCGUUGUCCGGAAUUAUUGGGCGUAAAGGGCUCGUAGGCGGUCUGUUGCGUCGGGAGUGAAAACUUACAGCUUAACUGUGAGCGUGCUUCCGAUACGGGCAGACUUGAGGUAUUCAGGGGAGAACGGAAUUCCUGGUGUAGCGGUGAAAUGCGCAGAUAUCAGGAGGAACACCGGUGGCGAAGGCGGUUCUCUGGGAAUAUCCUGACGCUGAGGAGCGAAAGUGUGGGG
rnacentral:rRNA from 1 species